UACGUAGGGUGCGAGCGUUAAUCGGAAUAAUUGGGCGUAAAGGGUGUGUAGGUGGCGCGCUAAGUCGGGUGUGAAAUUUCGGAGCUUAACUCCGAAACUGCAUUCGAUACUGGCGUGCUUGAGGACUGGAGAGGAGACUGGAAUUUACGGUGUAGCAGUGAAAUGCGUAGAUAUCGUAAGGAAGACCAGUGGCGAAGGCGGGUCUCUGGACAGUUCCUGACACUGAGACACGAAGGCCAGGGGAGCAAACGGG
rnacentral:rRNA from 1 species